CACCUGCAACACAAGUGAUAGCCAGUUUUAUUGGGCUUAAAGCGUUCGUAGCCUGCUGAGUAGGUUCUCGGUGAAAUCGUUGCUCUUAAAGUAACGGCGUGCUGGGAAUACCGCUUAGCUAGGGACCGGGAGAGGUAUGAGGUAUGCCUUGGGUAGGGGUGAAAUCCUGUAAUCCUUGGUGGACCAUCUGUGGCGAAGGCGUCAUACUGGAACGGGUCCGACGGUGAGGAACGAAAGCUAGGGUAGCAAAGCGGAUUAGAUACCCCUGUA
rnacentral:rRNA from 1 species